GCAAACAUUCUAGGUUAGGUUUCAUCCGAAACAAGCCGCUACCAAAGUUUGACGCGCGCGUGCGACGCCUUGUUUGCAAAAAAAAUUAUCAACGCCUCGAGGAAGAACAUAGGUAAUAAGUAUAGAGAGCAGCGAAGAAGCCGAAGGACGAGAGGAAGAUGACGAACCAGGUAAAGGGCAGCGGCUGGCCGAGACGCUCGAGCAGCAGCUCCUUCGACGGCAAGCUCCCGCCCAACCCCUCGAUAGCUGGCAACCGGACGAUAAAUCUAUACCCCUUGACAAACUAUAAAUUUGGAACAAAAGAGCCACUGUUUGAGAAAGAUCCAUCUGUACCAGCACGAUUCCAACGCAUGAGAGAUGAAUUUGACAAAAUUGGAAUGCGCCGCAGUGUGGAAGGUGUUCUUCUUGUGCAUGAACAUGGACUACCUCACGUACUCAUGCUUCAACUUGGAACAACCUUUUUCAAAUUGCCUGGUGGAGAGCUAAACGCAGGAGAAGAUGAGGUAGAGGGCCUUAAACGGCUCUUGACAGAGAUUCUUGGACGUCAGGAUGGAGUAAAACAGGAAUGGCUGAUUGAAGAUACAAUUGGAAAUUGGUGGCGACCAAAUUUCGAACCACCACAGUACCCUUAUAUUCCACCACACAUAACAAAACCAAAAGAGCACAAACGUCUGUUCUUAGUUCAAUUGCAAGAGAAAGGUGCGUACGGACAAUCUGUUGUUGCAGUACCGAAAAAUUACAAAUUAGUAGCAGCUCCACUUUUUGAACUGUAUGACAACUCUCAAGGAUAUGGACCAAUAAUUUCGUCGCUGCCACAAGCAUUGUGCAGAUUUAACUUUAUAUACAUGUGAAGAGAGAAUGUGAACAAUCCUUAAUUAUAGAACUAGAAAUAAUACAAAUAUCGUUUUAAGGCGAAUACUUUGAUGACGAAUAAAUACCCAUAGCUAUUUGUUCUUUGUAAAAUAUGACGCAAUAUAAAUUAAACAUUUUUAAUUUAAAUUAUUAGCGAUGUCAAAAUCUUAUGUGUUCUAAAAACCACUGAACCAGAAUUCUCACGUGGCGUGUCCGGUAUUCUGACAUUCAAAAUGGCGCCCCGGUGAUACCUGUUAAUAAGAGUUUACAGUGCAAUUUAUUUACUUUUGCGUGGAGUAUUUCGAAUUUCUAAAUAAAAUGUCUUCGAAAAAAAAAUCAGUUAUGACUGAGUUGCAGAAAAUCCAAGAUGCAAUGCAACAUACUUACCAUCGUAUAAGUGUUAUAGAAAAGAAACUUGCACAACAGAUUACUCUUGAUAAUAGAGAAUCAUUAGAGUCAGAACUAUCAAAUGCAAAAGAUUUGCUCAAAAAGAAUGAAGACAAACUCGCGAAAUUGCAAAAAGACAAUACGAAAACUUUCAUGAUUGCUGCUUGUGUUAUAUUUGUUAUAUACCUACUUUAUGGAUUAUACUCAAUGUUUUAUGUCAAUUAAACUGGAUACACGUAAUUAUAAGAAAUUAUUGUUAGUACAUUUUUUUUAAAUAGAAUUAUAAACUUUGGAACAUUUAUUUGUGAACAUAGAACAUAAAAUUUACGAUAUUGUUAAACAAUAUCUGACAGUUGUGUGGCAACAGUUCUUACUUACAUAUAUAUGUUAUAAAAAUGUUUGUGCAACAGUGGUGUGCUUGAGUAGACUUGAGUUAAAUGCUCUGGUAUAAUUAUUACAACCAAUGCUUCGAUUAUUAUACUAGUAGAUCAUAUUGUGGAGCACCAGCUUGACGACUCUUCAUGUAUUUCGCAUGUGUCUCAGCAUCCAAAAAACUGCCCUUCACAGCUGGGUCUUCUUUCAUGGCUAGCUUCCACUCCAGCUGGAACACAAAUAUUUGUGAAACUAGAAACUUAUGAAAUAAGUUUUCGAUUAUAGUUUGGUGUAUUAAGAUUACUAACCAAUCUAAGGAAUCUCUCACGUGGAAUGACAAACUGUUCCCCUCUGAGGAUUCUUAUAAUAUCUGCCCUCUCGCACCAUGGCCAGAUCAUUAAAUCUAGCAUGCCAGGUUGAUUACCUCCAAAGAAGGGUGUUGCUCUCUUAGCUAAUUCUCUAUCAAAGAUCUCUAAUCCUAGGAGUGCUUCGUUAAAUAAGUCUUUGUCAACAGUUUUUCCUGAAUAUAGCUGCAAAAUAAAAAAGAUACAGUAA